GGGAACCUCUUGAUCUCCUCUGAGUGGCUGGUUCUGUGCAGUAUCAGAUCUAACCAGGGGCUUAGCACAGGCUGGGGACAGAGGAGUGCCUGAUGUGUGACUUUGUCUCCAGAAGCCACUCCCACCCCCUGGGUGACCACAGCGCCCAUCACGUCUGCUUUGCUGAGAGUGAGCAGUGGGCAGAAUGACAGCAUCGAGGACGUGCUGGCCCCCCACUCCUGGUAAGGCCCCAGCCCUGGAGACAGGGGAAGGGAGCCAGCAGCCCUGGGCUCGGGGGAACCAGAGACGGGAGUCAUGCCCUGUCCAGCCAGCCUCACCGCUGCUGUCUCAGUGCUCACAUUCUCUGAGGCUGCCUUUGAGUGCUGAGUCGGGGAGGCUGCAGACACAGGCCAGAGGCUGGCUUGGGUGGCCGGACAGCCCCUGGUCCCUCCCAACCCUCCUUCCCCUCAGGGUCCGGACCUGCAGCCCCUUCCAAAGGUCUUUGCUCAGCUGGGCCUCUUGCCACCAGGAGCUGCCUCUGGGGUCUGGGGAGACAGGUGGCUUCAGGCUGGAGUUUCAGUCUGUUUUCCCUCUUCUCCCAGAGAUCCCCGGGAAGGGCUGCACUGCUGCCAUCAGACCCUGAAGGGAGGGACAAGGGACAAGGACUUUGCAGUGAGAGUGAGGAUUGGUUUCAAGAAGUUGGCAUGCAGAAGGGACAGAGAGGGUGACCCUGGAGCUCCUGGGGCCUCUUCUCUGUCCUCUCCGUCAUCUCUCCUCCGUGAGACCCCCUUGAGGGAGAGGUGAAGGGGCCACAGAGGUGCUCCCUGGGUCCGUUCUCUGUUGAGUUCUGAAUUAUUUGGGCUCUAAAAUCAGGGCACAGGGAGAGGUGGGGAGAGAAAGGUCCUGGGGCUUCCCCUGCAGGAGGCAGCUCAUGUCUUGUUCCCAUGGCCCCCACAGGUCCCUGCUCAGCAGUGUCCACUUCCUGCUUCUCGUCUUCUUGAAGGUGCCCCUGCUUCUGAGCAUGCUCAGUGCUGUCCUCUGGGUGAACAGGCCUCAGAGGGCCCCUGGGGGUGGACAGAGACUGCUUGUUUGGAACCUCUACAGUGCGCCACCCCAGAAAUGCCCUGCGUAAGGACGAAGCUCCUUCGGACUGUACGAGAAGGACUUUUGACUCUGGACUCCAGGGCGGGGAGGCAGCAGUCACCAGCUUCUGUAGGGACUUCUGUAAGGAGGGGCCUGGGUCUUAGAGGGCUCUUCUUUGGAGUCCUCAGCAUGGAAGAGGGAGUGAAACUCCCCUGGGCCCCUGUUUUGGGGGUCCUCUUUUCUCCUCCCGGCUCAUGCCCACUUCCCAAGGCCAAGAAUUCUCUGGGAUUUUCAUGCUCGUGCACAAAAGCAUCUGAGGUCAGUUUCCCCAGGGGAGAGUCGCCUCCUUCCUACAGAUGGGAGGCUCCCUGAGGAGCCUUUGGGCUCACAGGGCUCCACCCCCUCUCCUGGGACGACCCAGGGCUCUGGGUCCUGCUCAGGCAGCUCCUCACUUUCCUGAACACUCAGGGUUCCUUCCCCUUUUCUGGGGCUUUUGGGUCUCCCUGGGCUUUAAGCCUCGCUGGGUCCCUGUGAGCAGGGAGCAAGGGCUCAGCACAUCUGCCUAGGCUGGUCAUGGCUGCGUGGCUCCAUGGGACGGGUUGGAGCAGCAAUGGGAGGAGGAGGCGGUGGCUUCCGCUAACACCACUCCUGAUCCUGGGGGUCUCCUCUGCUCGGUGUUGCCCAAGAGUCCAUCUGCCUGAGACCACCUGUCAGCAGUCAGUCCCUUCCCCGGGGUGGGCAGCUUUUCACAGGCAGGGUGCAGGCUGGGAGGUGAGGAGCACUCUACCACCCGGGGACCCGAGCCCAGGAGGAGGCGCCGCUGGCUGAACGCCUCCGUUGCUCCCCGUGUGGCUUGCGAGGGGAUUCCACUGUCUGCCCCAGCGUCACCAUCUCCUCUCACUCCCUGCUCUGGGCCAGUCCUCUCCCUCCCCCCAGGCCACUCCUGCCCUGAACUAGUGAUGCCAGUUUCCAGAGAGGGGACGCAUCCAGAGGACAGCAUGAGUGAAAACAGGGUAGAGGCAGCCAUUAUGGUAACCGUGGCCCCUGGGAGACCUGUCCGCAGAAGGGUGCUGUCCCCUGUGGUUUUCACGGUGAGCUGUGUCCAAGGUGAGCUGACCUGGAGCUAAGGUGGAGCAUGUCACGGGGCAGAGGCUUGACUCUGGCCUAGGUUUUUAUUUUCAUUCAUUUAUUUUUUGAGGUGCUGGGAUUGAACCCAGGGCCUCGUGGACCACUGAGCGGCACCCCCGCCCUUAAGCUUCUAUUAAGAACAGUAGGGUGGGCUUGGCCAGAACAAGAGGAGAUGGUGGGUGUCCUCUAGGAGAGCUUACUUAGCCAACGUGGCAGGCUCCAGCCUGAGGGCCAGAAGAAGGGGCGUUGUCGACAGAUGUGGGCUGGUCAGCAGCAGGCCUGGGGAUGCAGAGCUCACGUUUCUGUGUGUGACCGGGGUCACCAGGCAGAGGGUCUCGCAGGAAGCUAGAGAGGGGAGCCAGUAGAGUGUGAGGGCCGGGGAGGAAGGCGUGUGUCCAGAGCACGGGAGCCCAGAGAAGGUGAACUGGGCGGGGAAGUCUCAGACCAAGGACAGAGCCCACGGCCACCACUGUUGAGAGCCACAGCCAAAGUGGCCCCAGCAAACUUCCAGCUGCCAGCAAACUUCCAGCUGCUGGCUGAUGAUUGGCUCACAGCGGCCCCAGCAACAUCUAGCUGAUUGGCUCCUCUGCGGUGAUGCUCAUUGGACUGUUUCCCUGCCCUUUCAGACCACGGAGCUGCUCAUUGGGGGACUUUUUUGGCUCCGCCCACGUGACCCAGCCAAUCGGCCUCAAGAGCAGGAGGAUUGUGGGAGGUGGAGAGAAGCUUGUGGGGGAGAGAGAGGCUUGGGGAAAGCCGGUGGUGGCAGUUGAGGCUCUGAGGGUUUUUCCUGAGAGACUAUUUUGUUUGUCUUGUAUGGUUCUAAAAAUAAAGUUAG
rnacentral:lncRNA from 1 species